ACUGCUCCUAGAAGCAUGGCAAGUAUGGCUUCUGUGUCACAUGAGCAUCAGUAGGUGGCAGAGAGGAGAAAGGCUAUGUCUGUUCUCAGUGUUCUGACCUUUGAACAUCUGAAAGAUUAGUAGCCUAACAUU